ensembl:lncRNA
CAGAAAUGAACAGGAGGGAGGCUGAUCGCUCUUUGUGCUUAUUAUCUGCAACGGGGCCGAAGGGCACCUUGCAGGGCCGCACCAUCUGGGCUCGGAGCCCCUGCGGGCCUGGAUGAAGUGACUCUACCGCAGCACAGAGGUGGUCUUACGUGUCUAAGGGUGGACCCCUGCUCGGACUGUGGAUUAUUCCGAAAACAAGCGGUUAUAAAAUUCUAGGGUGAAGUUGCUGUGGCUCGAAAAAUGUCUUGGCUGGUGGGCAGAGAGUGUGAGAGGGCACAGUGACCUGCUCAGGGCAGUCCAGAAGACCUCAGUAGCUUAACAUUUGGUGAGUGGCUUGUAUGUGUAGUGAGCUCUAAGUGUUACUAGUGUUUCAGAGAGUGUCUCGCAAACUUUGGUCAUGGCACUUCCAUAAGUGUUUUGUUUCUUUUGCUCUGCAGAUGCGGCCAGAAAUGGGUCUUCUGUGGAUUAUUUCAAAAUGAGGUCGUCAAAUUCUUGGCUGAGGUGGCUGUCAUCAGAUUGGAAAUCUAGUCUGUGGCUAAGAAGUCCUAAUAAAACUGCGAGGAGUCUGCUGAGUCACUGAUGUUCUGGUUUGGUGACCCUGCACCGAGGACACUGCAACUUUGCAAGUCCCUUCUACAGUGGGCCAGAGAACACUUACAGAUACUUCAUCCCCUCCACCUCUCCAAAACUGCUGUCCACUAAAUAUGAACUAUUACUUGUAUAAAUAAACUGAUUUAUAUUGCUGAAU